GCAGUGGUGAUGGGAAGGGCCGUGGUUGCAACAAACCCUUUGGCUUUAAAAUGUUUCAUUGUUCCGAUCGUGUCAUGAAGAAUUUGAAAGAAGAGGUACGGACCGACCGUGAAAAACGUGCCACAAUCACCGAACAAAAACG
rnacentral:ribozyme from 1 species